UCGGGAAUUUUGGGCAAUGGGGGAAACCCUGACCCAGCAACGCCGCGUGAAGGAUGAAGUAUUUCGGUAUGUAAACUUCGAAAGAAUAGGAAGAAUAAAUGACGGUACUAUUUUAUAAGGUCCGGCUAACUACGUGCCAGCAGCCGCGGUAAUACGUAGGGACCAAGCGUUGUUCGGAUUUACUGGGCGUAAAGGGCGCGUAGGCGGCAUGACAAGUCACUUGUGAAAUCUCUGGGCUUAACCCAGAACGGCCAAGUGAUACUGUCGCGCUAGAGUGCAGAAGGGGCAAUCGGAAUUCUUGGUGUAGCGGUGAAAUGCGUAGAUAUCAAGAGGAACACCUGAGGUGAAGACGGGUUGCUGGGCUGACACUGACGCUGAGGCGCGAAAGCCAGGGGAGCAAACGGGAUUAGAUACCCAUGUAGUCCCUGAGCGGGCUGGCAAGGCGCAU
rnacentral:rRNA from 1 species